CUUAGGAAUCUGCCUAUUAGUGGGGGACAACAUUUCGAAAGGAAUGCUAAUACCGCAUACGUCCUACGGGAGAAAGCAGGGGAUCUUCGGACCUUGCGCUAAUAGAUGAGCCUAAGUCGGAUUAGCUAGUUGGUGGGGUAAAGGCCUACCAAGGCGACGAUCUGUAGCGGGUCUGAGAGGAUGAUCCGCCACACUGGGACUGAGACACGGCCCAGACUCCUACGGGAGGCAGCAGUGGGGAAUAUUGGACAAUGGGCGCAAGCCUGAUCCAGCCAUGCCGCGUGUGUGAAGAAGGCCUUAUGGUUGUAAAGCACUUUAAGCGAGGAGGAGGCUACUUUAGUUAAUACCUAGAGAUAGUGGACGUUACUCGCAAAAUAAGCACCGGCUAACUCUGUGCCAGCAGCCGCGGUAAUACAGAGGGUGCAAGCGUUAAUCGGAUUUACUGGGCGUAAAGCGCGCGUAGGCGGCUAAUUAAGUCAAAUGUGAAAUCCCCGAGCUUAACUUGGGAAUUGCAUUCGAUACUGGUUAGCUAGAGUGUGGGGAGAGGAUGGUAGAAUUCCCGGUGUAGCGGGUGAAAUGC
rnacentral:rRNA from 1 species